CGAACGCAGAACUGCUAUCAUUUCAAGGGAGCUGAGACACUUUAAGAUCGACAUAGCAGCCCUUCAGGAGACCCGGAGAGCAUGAGAGGGACAGCUGAAGGAAGAAAAAAGAGGCUACACCUUCUUCUGGAAGGGACUGCCUGAAGAAGAGCGAAGAAUAGACGGAGUUGGCUUUGCUAUCAGAAAUGGCCUGGUGAAGCACCUGACUGAGGCACCCACUGGCAUCAAUGAGCGACUCUCAAUCCUCCGAAUUAACCUUGCCAAAAGCCAACAGGCAACCAUCAUAUGUGCCUAUGCACCAACUCUAGAUGCUGAAGAAGACAUCAAGGAAAAAAUUUAUUGUCAGCUGGACACCAUCCUAUCGGAGAUAUCUAUGAAGGACAAAAUCAUCCUCCUAGGGGACUUUAAUGCCAGAGUCGGACAGGACUCCGACCUGUGGCCAGGGAUCAUAGGAAAAGAUGGGGUCAGAAACAGCAACUCAAAUGGCAUCUUGCUUCUCACCAAAUGCGGAGAGCACAACCUUGUCAUCACCAACAUGCUCUUCCGCCAGAAAAACAAGCUCAAGACAUCAUGGAAACACCCCCGGUCAAAGCAUUGGCACCUCUUGGAAUGUGUUAUUACACGUGCCAGAGACCUCUGCGAUGUGCUUCUCACAAGAGCCAUGACAGGUGCUGAUGACUGCUGGACAGACCACAGGUUAAUCCGAUCCACAAUAACUUUCAAGAUCGUCCCCAAACGCAGACUCCAAGGAAGAAAAACAAGGCGUAAAAUGAACACCCAAACCCAUCAGGAGCCCUCCAAACGAGCCCUUCUCCAAACAAUACUCAAGGAUCAUCUACCCACAGAACACCCCGAAAAUAUUGAGGAACAUUGGAACAAACUGAAGACCUCCAUCAUCACAGCCUGCAAAGAAACCAUUGGAUACCAAACUAAGAAACAUCAAGACUGGUUUGAUGAUAAUGACAAGGAGAUCCAACAGCUAAUUGAUAACAAAAGGAAAGCCUUCCAAACAUGGCAGAGAGACACCAACUGUGCUGCCAAGAAAAAGAUCUAUGCCAGUGCAAAAGUUGAGGUCCAAAGAAGGACCAGAGAACUCAAGAACAUCUGGUGGACAAAGAAGGCUGAAGAAAUCCAACACCUUGCAGAUACCCAUGAUGCUCAGGGAUUUUUCAAAGCCACAAAGAUCAUUUACAGACCAAGAAACCAUGGCAUACAGCCCCUACACUCAUCAGAUGGAACCAAAAUUCUGAAGGACAAAACAUCAAUUGCACUACGUUGGAAAGAGCACUACCAGAACCUGCUGAAUCGCAGCUCCAAUGUGGCCGAAGAGACCCUCUCACAAAUCCCGCAACAACAAACCAGGGAUGAGCUUGCAGCACUGCUUAGUUUGGAAGAAGUAAGCAAUGCCAUCAGCCAACAAAAAAACAACAAAGCCAGCGGACCUGAUGGGAUCCCUGCUGAAAUCUUCAAAACGGGUGGACCUGAGCUGAUACAACAACUCCACCAGCUAAUUGAAAAGGUGUGGGUGACUGAGAAAAUCCCAGCAGACUUCAAGGAUGCCACCAUCAUCACCCUUUUCAAGAAAGGGGAUAGAACAGACUGCAGGAACUAUUGCGGUAUCUCCCUUCUAACCUCCGCUGGGAAAAUCCUUGCAAGAAUCCUUGCAAACCGCCUUCUCCCUGUUUCAGAAGACACCCUCCCAGAAUCCCAGAAUGGCUUCCGUCCCUCCAGAGGAACAGUGGACAUGAUCUUCACUGCUCGACAGCUCCAAGAAAAAUGCAGGGAACAAAACCAACCUCUGUACAUGGCAUUCAUUGACCUUUUGGAAAGGCAGGUUACUAACUGGAGCUGCUUAUAGGGAGAGGUCAACCCCCCUGUUCAAGUAGCUCCACUGGCUGCCGAUUAUAUUCCGGGCCCAAUUUAAGGUGCAGGUUAUUAACUAUAAAGCUCUAAACGGUUCGGGACCUGCCUAUCUUUGUGACUGCGUCAUCCCCUAUGAACCCACCCGGUCGCUGAGAUCUCCCGGGGGGGGGGGGUUUCCUUUCGCUUCCGCCCUCCUCAC
ensembl:lncRNA